AACGGCUAAGACAUAAAAUUCAAGAGAAGCUGGCUUCACCAGAAGAAAAAGUUAAGAGUAUUUGGGCUCAUCUAAAGACUCUCAGGAGCAGUCCUCAGUUCUUCACCGCGGAUCUACCGUGUAACUGUGUAAACCACCUAACCGUUUUAACCGUCUCCAUCGAUCGCUUUACGUCGCUGUAAAUCGUCCUUAAUUUGCCAGUUGACACGGAUCUCGUACAACGUUUCAAUCGCUUUGAUUUGAAUGACUUCACUUCGUUUCGUUUGGUCGAUUUGGAAGGGAAAUUGGUUUUUGGCUGUCACAUGUGUAACCAUGUUCAUUGGAGACUCCAUAAUAAAGCUAGAAAAAACCUUCGGCUAUAGAAUAGUGGUCAAACUAUUCUCUAGGGCCAUUAAAAAAGCUAUGUAGGACUACAUCAAAGCCAACCUGGAGCAUUCGCCGGACCGAGUUGUUCUCCAUGA